rnacentral:tRNA from 1 species
GCCGGAGUGGUGGAAUUGGUAGACGCGCUGGACUCAAAAUCCAGUCUCCCCUGGGAGGUGUCGGUUCGAGUCCGACCUCCGGUA